AUUGAACGCUGGCGGCAGGCUUAACACAUGCAAGUCGAGCGGAGUGAUGGUGCUUGCACUAUCACUUAGCGGCGGACGGGUGAGUAAUGCUUAGGAAUCUGCCUAUUAGUGGGGGACAACAUCUCGAAAGGGAUGCUAAUACCGCAUACGUCCUACGGGAGAAAGCAGGGGAUCACUUGUGACCUUGCGCUAAUAGAUGAGCCUAAGUCGGAUUAGCUAGUUGGUGGGGUAAAGGCCUACCAAGGCGACGAUCUGUAGCGGGUGUGAGAGGAGGAUCCGCCACACUGGGACUGAGACACGGCCCAGACUCCUACGGGAGGCAGCAGUGGGGAAUAUUGGACAAUGGGGGGAACCCUGAUCCAGCCAUGCCGCGUGUGUGAAGAAGGCCUUAUGGUUGUAAAGCACUUUAAGCGAGGAGGAGGCUCUUUUGGUUAAUACCCAAGAUGAGUGGACGUUACUCGCAGAAUAAGCACCGGCUAACUCUGUGACAGCCGCCGCCGUAA
rnacentral:rRNA from 1 species